UACGAAGGGGGCUAGCGUUGCUCGGAAUCACUGGGCGUAAAGGGUGCGUAGGCGGGUCUUUAAGUCAGAGGUGAAAUCCUGGAGCUCAACUCCAGAACUGCCUUUGAUACUGAGGAUCUUGAGUUCGGGAGAGGUGAGUGGAACUGCGAGUGUAGAGGUGAAAUUCGUAGAUAUUCGCAAGAACACCAGUGGCGAAGGCGGCUCACUGGCCCGGUACUGACGCUGAGGUGCGAAAGCGUGGGGAGCAAACAGG
rnacentral:rRNA from 1 species